AAAGAUUUGUUCGACGUUUGUCAACGUUUCUGUCAAAAUUCUGAUAUGACAUGUGAGCAACACUCGGAUUAUU